CGGGCUAUUCCAGGGCUUCUAGAGAAAAAUAAUGAAGGUUGUCAUGUGGUAUGACAAUAUAGCUCUUGUAGAGGAGAAAUAGGCGCUUCUUUUGUGCAAGGUAUCGAAAGGUGCUAUGUUCAAAAAUCUGAAACUAGCCCAAAAUUUGAAAAAAAUGGCAAAAAAACAGAGUGUCGGCUUAUUCCAGGGCUUUAGUGAAAAAUAAUGAUGGGUGUCACGGGGUAUGACUAUAUCGGUAUUGUAGAGGAGAAACAGGAGCUUCUUUUGCGUAAGGUAUCGAAAGGCGCUAUGUUAAAAAAUCUGAAACUAGAAAUCAAAAUUUGAAAAAAGUGGCAAAAAACAGGGUGCCGGCUUAUUCCAGGGCUUCUAGAGAAAAAUAAUGAGGGGUGUCACGGGGUAUGACUAUAUAUGUCUUGUAGAGGAGAAACGGGAGCUUCUUUUGAGCAAGGUAUAGAAAGGCGCUAUGUUCAAAAAUCUGAAACUAGAGCUCAAAAUUUGAAAAAAAUGGCAAAAAAUAGGGGGUCGGACUAUUCCAGGGCUUCUAGAGAAAAAUAAUGAGGGGUGUCACGGGGUAUGACUUCAUCGGUCUUGUAGAGGGGAAACAGGAGUUUCUUUUGAGCAAGGUAUAGAAAGGCGCUAUGUUAAAAAAUCUGAAACUAGAGCUCAUAAUUUGAAAAAAAUGGCAAAAAAACAGGUGGUCGGCCUAUUCCAGAACUUCUAGUGAAAAAUAAUGAGGAAUAUCACGGGGUAUGACUAUAUAGGUCUUGUAGAGGAGAAACA
rnacentral:lncRNA from 1 species